GACGAACGCUGGCGGCGUGCUUAACACAUGCGAGUCGAACGGAAAGGCCCCCUUGUGGGGUACUCGAGUGGCGAACGGGUGAGUAACACGUGAGUAACCUACCCCUGACUUUGGGAUAACUUCAGGAAACUGGGGCUAAUACCGUAUAGGAGCUCCUGCUGCAUGGUGGGGGUUGGAAAGUUUCGGCGGUUGGGGAUGGACUUGCGGCUUAUCAGCUUGUUGGUGGGGUAGUGGCUCACCAAGGCUUUCACGGGUAGCCGGCCUGAGAGGGUGCCCGGCCACAUUGGGAAUGAGAAACGGCCCAGACUCCUACGGGAGGCAGCAGUGGGAAAUAUUGCACAAUGGACGGAAACCUGAUGCGGCAAAGCCGCGUGCGGGAUGACGGCCUUCGGGUUGUAAACCGCUUUCGCCUGUGACGAAGCGUGAGUGACGGUAAUGGGUAAAGAAGCACCGGCUAACUACGUG
rnacentral:rRNA from 1 species